UCCACGCCAUUUGCGCUUUAACGGUUAGCAACGAAGCUUCGAGAGAGAGAAAAAAAGAGUUGGGUUUUCAGUUCAGUAGGGUUUCGCUAUCUACAUAGUACAUACAAGAGACACACACAGCGAAGAACCAUCAUCGCUUCUGACUCCCACUGGUUGAUAAAUAGCAGUUGGUUGGAACAAUAAGAGAGACAAUCCAAGUAACAAAAGGUUGGAAGAGGGAUGAAAAGAUAUAAAAUAGUUUACAAGUAAAAAAGAAGAGGAAAGAAUGGAUACUAGCAACAAUAUUGUUGCUAUUGUGUAUUUUGAUGGUUCUAUUAGUACAGCCACAAAUGAAGGUGUGACAUUUAUAUGUGAUGAACCAACAUUUUUCACAAUUUCCCAAACCAUGUCCUUCGUGGAACUAAACGCUGGUCUUUGUCAAGAUAUAAAUGGCGGCAAUAAAAGGGAAGUGGUGAAAAUAAAAUACAGGUGUCCAAUAUCAAUUGUUAAUGGAAAUAUAAAAUAUCAAGCAGUUAAAAUAAGCAGUGACAAUGAUAUGAGACUACUGUGUAUGACAUAUAGACAGUUUCAACCACACAUUACUGUCAUUGAGCUAUAUGUAGAGUUCGAAGAUGUUGCUAAAGCCAAUGACGAUGGAGCUGGUCCCAGUUCAUGUCCGGUCAAAGAGCAGUGUGAUGAAGAAGUUCCGACAUCAUGUCCAGCUAAUCAGCAGUGCAAUGAAACAAUUCUGAGAUCAUGUUCAGCUAACAAGCAGUGCGAUGAAACAGUUCCGUGUGUAUCUCCAGCUAACCAUCAGUGUGAUGAAACAGUUCCUAGUUCAUAUCCACAACUUGAAGAAGUUAAGCCAAGCCCAUUUCCAAUAAGAGGUACAGAGUGUGAAAUUAACAAUAGUGAAAGUGAUAAUUUCUUAGAACAAGAACAUAGAAGUGGUGGCAAUGGUGCAGAUGAUACUGAUGGUUGUGAAGAUGAGGAGAAUGUACCAAAUAGAGUGGCUAUUGAGCAUCCAUUCAAGCCUGUACCAUUCAUGCGUACUUUAGAUCUUGAAGCUAUGCAUGCCCCUGAGUUUCCAGAGUAUGUAAAUGUGAGUAAGAAUUAUGCUGCAAAUGGUGAAUUGUGUGUUGGAAUGCUAUUCAAGAAUAAAGAGGGUGUAGUACAAGCAAUUAAAAAUUACAGUUUAUCUAAAUCAGUGGAUUACAAAGUUCAUGAGUCAGAACCAGCAACUUUUUAUUGCAAGUGCAAGUACUUUGGUUCAGGGUGCAAAUGGCUUGUUAGGGUCAGUUUCAUAAAGAAUAAGGAUGUUUGGGAAAUCAGGAGAUACAAUGGACCACACACCUGUAACUCAGAGAUGGUCUCUCAAGACCAUACAAAGUUGGAUUCUGACAUGAUUGCACAACAUAUAGGGCCUAUGGUCCGAGAUGAUCCGUCUUUCAAUGUAAAUAAUGUGAUUUCAGAGAUUCAAUCUCGGUAUGGAUACACAACAACAUACCGUAAAGCAUACUUGGCAAAACAAAAGGCAAUUGAAAAUGUUUAUGGUAGUUGGGAGGGCUCAUUUGAAAUUCUGCCGAAAUGGUUGGAAGCAUUGUCUCUCAUUGUUCAUGGUUCAAUUGUUGAACUUGAAACACUACCAGCCUACCAUGGCACUGAGCUGUUGCCGAAUGUUCGAUUAUUCCAUCGAUUGUUUUGGACAUUUGGGCCUUGCAUAAAAGCGUUUGAACAUUGCAAACCAAUAGUCCAAGUAGAUGGGACACAUUUGCAUGGAAAAUAUGAAGGGACUUUAUUGGUUGCAGUUGCACAAGAUGGCAAUCAAAGUCUAUUGCCAAUCGCUUUUGCAAUUGUUGAUGAUGAGACCGUAGAUGCAUGGUAUUUUUUUCUAUUUAACCUACGUAAGCAUGUAGUGAUGAAGGAUGGGGUUACCAUCAUUUCUGAUGACCACGAGUCAAUUAGAACAGCAAUAAAUCGAUGUCAUGAUAUGUGGGCACCACCGAAAGCAUUUCACAUGUAUUGCAUUCGACACAUAGCUUCUAAUUUCUUGAGGAAAUUUGAGAAGCCCUACUUGCAUCGACUUGUUGUGAGCAUAGGGUAUUCAAGGACUGAGCGUGAAUAUAAUUACCACUACAAGCAAAUGUGUCAACAUGGCGAUGCAUAUACCAAGUGGCUUGAUGAAAUUCCUCGAGAAAAAUGGGUUCAAGCCUUUGAUGGUGGACACCGAUAUGGACAUAUGACGACGAAUCUUGUUGAAUGUAUAAGUUCUGUGUUAAAAGGGGUUCGUAAUCUUCCCAUUGCAGCCUUGGUUAGAGCAACAUACCUUCGGUUGUGUGAGUUGUUUGCUUCCAAAAGUAGAGAGGUAUAUGCUCGAAAAGAUACGGGAAAUGUUUUCUCAGAAAUGCUGAUGACACGCCUACAAAAAAACCAGCUCGCAGCUGAAAGUGUACUUGUUACUGCAUUUAUAAGUGAAAAUGAGAUAUUUUAUGUUCAAGAGCCAUCAAGCAAGGAAGAACUAAAAGUUGAUUUAAGGCAUGGAUACUGUGACUGUGGUGAUUUUCAAACUGAUCGAUAUCCAUGCCCUCAUGUAAUUGCGUGCUGCUCCAAUCAAAACAUCAAUUGGGAAGUUUAUGUUAAUGAUAUUUAUAGGAUUGAUAAAGUUUGCAAGUUGUAUGAGAAAGAGUUUGAGGUGGUGGGGCAUCAAAGUACAUGGCCAGUAUAUAAUGGCCCAAGAAUUCAGCCAAACUCCUUGUCAAAGCGCAAUAUGAAAGGUCGGCCCAAAUCAACUAGUUUUCUAAACGAAAUGGAUGAGCGUGAAAUACACCAACUCAAGCGUCGCCGUCGUGAAGGACUUAGAGGCAAACGAGUUCGACGCAGAGUUAAGUCAAGUUUGCAGUUAUGAGUAAGUUCUUGAUGAUCUUUGUAUGUAUUGAUUAAUGCAAAAUGGACUUUCAUUUAUUACUUUUUCAAUCUUGAUGCGAUGAUUUAUUAAAUAGAUAUAUUAAUAUAAAGGAUUGCUCUUUAAAUAACGGUAGUGUUGCUCUUAAUCUUUUAAGGACCAUUCUGACUGUUAAUCCAAAAUAUUAGUUUUUUUCCCUCACGAUGAUGGCUUUUACCUUAGCUAUGAUGCGCUUUUGUAUGGCUUUGGUUAUUAUGUGUCUGUGGAUAACUACUUGGUACUUGUAGCUUGGAAUGAGAGAACUAAGGAAACCGGCUUGAUUUCUUUACCUUGAGAACCAUGAUGGAUUAAUCUUGAUGCUUUACCUCCCAAAACCUUGGAAUGGUAUCACUGGCGAACUGAUUGUAUUACUUUGAUCUGGGAGAGAGGAGUUUCUCCACGACGCCCACCUGCACCACAGUCAUGACUCACCGUUAAGUCUUCACUCCAAUCUCGUUCUACUAGGAGGGUGCUAGCCUUGUAUUUCUAUGAUAAUGUUAAAAAUAAAAUAUGCAGAAGAUGAAAAAGGAGCAAAUUCUUCACCAAGAAUGUUUUGAACAACUAGAUGUUGCUACAGAUCAGAAUCAUAAAAGGAUCUAACAACGAAAGAAAAUCAGGAGUGAAAUAAUUCAACAACUUAGACAUGUGACUCGGUGCUAAGUAAGGUGUAUGGUUCACAAGUUGAGCUAGAAGCAGCUUGAAGAAACUUUGGUGUUAAUUUGCCUUAAAGUAUGGUUUUCAUCCUAAUAUGAAUGUGAAAGAAACUCGAGAACAUUUGAAAGUGCAAAUGGAGUUUAUCGUGCUACUCAAAUCCAAUUUCUCUUUUGACUAAAUCUAGUAGUAAUGUUUCUUUAAUUUUUUGCUUUUCCUUUUUAUGUUUCAUUUUUAGGCCAACAUUAAUACUUUGACCUUGAGUGAACACCCAAUUCAAUCUCUCGGCAUUAUUUCGAAGGACGAAGUGUUCCCUAACAGAGAAAGACUCAUUUAAGUUCUAGUUCCUUAAUAACAUGAU